CCAUUUUGAUCUUAAAAUAGUAACAACCGGAAGCACUGGGUAGCCAUUACUGCAUGCGAUUUGUGGAAGGAUAUUGGAUCCUAUAGUUAAAUCGUGAAGUUUACAAAUUACAGACAUAGCAGUGACACAGUGAGAAAUUUACAGAGUGACAAAGUGACUGAAAUUUCCAUAGAAGGUUGUGUACUGGGAUGAUAUAGAUUGGAAGAAUGACAGUGAGUUUCAGUUAACUGAGAGAGAUCAGAGCUGAAGAUUAUUUACUAUUUGAGAAAAAGACUAUAGAAGGUAUGAAGUAAGAGUUAUCUUUCAUUAUAAGACUUACUCCUUCAAUAAUGAGAUUGAGUUACUGCCCUUUGGAGCCAACUUCCACUUUAGGUAGAGGUUAUUAGAAGUAAUUUCAAUAACAAUGGGAAGGAUAACCAAUGAAAUUCUUUCUAUUUAUAACUAAGUUCUGCACUUUA